rnacentral:rRNA from 1 species
GACGGAGGGGGCUAGCGUUGUUCGGAAUUACUGGGCGUAAAGAGCGCGUAGGCGGUUUGGUAAGUUGGAAGUGAAAGCCCGAGGCUUAACCUCGGAAUUGCUUUCAAAACUGCUGAACUAGAGUGUAGUAGGGGAUGAUGGAAUUCCUAGUGUAGAGGUGAAAUUCUUAGAUAUUAGGAGGAACACCGGUGGCGAAGGCGGUCAUCUGGGCUACAACUGACGCUGAGGCGCGAAAGCAUGGGGAGCGAACAGG